rnacentral:lncRNA from 1 species
AUUAAUGACCUGCCGACAUCAUACAGUUCAUGAAAUGCUCUGGAUGUGUACAUGCUGAUGAUACGACCUCAGACCCAGCAAGAGCUCAGUGCAGCCCGGAGAGCUGUGAGCAGUGCCACAGGAGGAGAUGACUGGUGAGUGAAAUAAGCAAGAUAGGAGUUGAAGUGUACAUGAAGCAGAGUCCAAGCCUUCUCCUUCUGGAUGUUCAGCUGGAUCAUCCUGACUGCUCCCACUUUCAUCUUGGCUUUCAAAGGCAAGAGGAAAUUAUAAGGAAUAUUCUGAGUGGCUUUCAUCCAGGAGUUCUGUGGGACCCGCAACACCUGGAUGGUAGAUGCAAACAGAUAAAGAAUAUUGGUCACCAAAAGGAGUUCUUUUCAUCAUAGAUCUCUGAAGGUAGACACCUAUUUGCAGACUUCUCAAAGGGCUAUAUGGAUGUGCUCUACUUGUUGGAGGAUUGUCCAUCCACUCUUCUUCCUGUACUUACCAGGACAGAACAGCCGCAACUUCUCAGACAGUUCAUUCUUCUUUUCCUCACCUACUACCAUCUAAGAAAGGUACUUGAUGACUGUGGCUUUAGACAAGAGUCCUUUUCUUACCACAGGGUGGGCAGCACCAGCUCAUUAGAACCAUUUGUGUGACUGACUGAAGACAGCUCACCUUGGAACACUGCAGGACCCUAAGAGGAUGGAGGUGGAGUUUUUCUGCUCCUACACCUGGAUAGGCAAGACCAACCACUUACCAGAUGGGGAAUCUUCCAGUGCUAAUAGUUCAGACUGUGCAUACAAGAAACUGA